rnacentral:lncRNA from 1 species
AAAACCCCACAAGAAAAAACCCCAUUUAUCUCAAAUCCAAGAAAUGCAAAGCUCCACAAUAAUGGUGAGUCUCGAAAUUCCGAUUUGCUCCGAUUCUAAAUGUUUUUGGCUCAAAGCGUAGCCCUCGUCGAGUAGAUGAUAUUCUCCCAAAGAACCACUAUCAAAACUUCACUCUACCCCACUAGAUCUAAGCUCACAAUCACAAACCCUUCUUGGCUCAAACUUAGAGAGAGAGAGAAAAGGAAGAAGAUGACAAUAAAUGCAAAAAUAAAUUGGCAUUAAUGUGUUUAGGUCAAAAUAGAGAAUGACCUAAAUGCCCUUCUUGGGCCUUGGGCUUUGUUUGGCCCAAGCAACAAACCCAAAAUAAAUCAACAUUGGGUCCAAUUAAUUUUGCCCACUCUCUCACACACCCAACUUCAACCCAAAAUAUUUUUUAACAUGGUUAACUUAUAUAUAUAUAUAUACACA